rnacentral:rRNA from 1 species
UAUCCUGGCUCAGGAUAAAACGCUGGCGGCGCACAUAAGACAUGCAAGUCGAACGAACUUAAUAUCUUGCUUGCAAGGUAAGCGGUUAGUGGCGGACUGGUGAGUAACACGUAAGAAAUCUGCCUAUCAGAGGGGAAUAACAGUGAGAAAUCACUGCUAAUACCGCAUAUGCCAUAAACAUCGCAUGAUGUUAGUGGGAAAGAAGCAAUUCGCUGAUAGAUGAGCUUGCGGCUGAUUAGCUAGUUGGUGGGGUAAAGGCCUACCAAGGCGACGAUCAGUAGCCGGACUGAGAGGUUGAACGGCCACAUUGGGACUGAGAUACGGCCCAGACUCCUACGGGAGGCAGCAGUCGGGAAUAUUGCGCAAUGGAGGCAACUCUGACGCAGUGACGCCGCGUAUAGGAAGAAGGUUUUCGGAUUGUAAACUAUUGUCCACAGGGAAGAAAAAGACUGUACCUGUGAAGAAAGCUCCGGCUAACUACGUG